UCUCGGCAGAACACAAAGGCCAGAUAGCCAGAACCCAAAGCUAGAGAGAGAGAGAGAGAGAAACUCAUACUAUGUAACUCUGACAACACAGACUGGAUUCCAGAGUCUCGUUCAGUCCAGAUUUUCCAAAUUUCACAGCAAAACCCAAUCUUUCUCUCAUCAACGUCAGGCAAGAUCACCUUUUUAUUUACUUUCUCUAUCUGUAUCUAUAUGUUUUUGGCUUAUAUGUAUACGUAUGCUAUGCGUUCGGCCACUUUGGGAUUUUGUAUUUGCGAGUUAUGAAUGUAAUGCUGGAUUUUCUUUCAAUUUUAAUUGGCCCAAUUUGUAGAAACAGAGGAUUAGUCUCAGUGCAUCAAUUUGAUCCUAACACCUUGUUUGGUUCCCGGAAAGUUUUUGUUGCCAGAAAGCUUUAAUGGCGUCUUUGCAACCAUACAGGAUUACAGGGGGAAAAAAAAGGAAAGAUCUUUUUAUGUUUCUGGGGAUGAAGAACAACUGGAAUUUGAAACAUAAUUUAUUAAAAUUUUUUGUUGCUUUUGGUACUUGUCGGUGCAGAGGGUAUGAAUUCUAAGGUUGUAUGUUUUUGAGGAGAAAGCUUUGUGUUGAUAGUUUAUUUUUGUUGCUGAGAUAAUGCUGGGUACCAGAAGUUUAACUCCUUUGUCUUUUUGAUUAAAACUUGGGGCCCAGUGAAUGGAUUAAAAUAAAUCUCUCUUGCAAUGUAGGUGUAAUUUUUGUUUAACUUGAGUUUAAUUGCAGACGAGUCUUUAGAGAGAAUUGUGUGAUUUAGUGUGAUGUGGUUUGAGGUUCUAAAAGGAAAAUGUUGCUGCUUGUAGCUUUUAGAGAGUUUGGCUUGACUAAAUAUGACAUGGUUUGGUUUGUUUCUUGUUUUAUAAAUUGUUCUCUUGAUUGUGCUAUUGCGCAGAUACUGCAUCACUGUUUCCUACAAGGCAUGCCUAGGGAGAUCUUCAAACAAUAUAUAUUCCCCACGCAAUUGAACCUGACUUCAACUCAAGCCCAGAGGCACAAUAUUCCAACAAGACAUCAUCAGAUGUAUCCUAUCAAGAUUUACUCGGUUUCUAGAAAAUUCUUUCAAUUUUAUAAGGCUAGUAGAAAGACUUACUUCAACAACCUGAUUUGGCCUGUCUUCAACAUAUGGAAAAGUGCUUGUUGUUGAUGGCAUCAUUCAGCUGCUAUUCAGUGGUGCGAGCUUAUGUUCAUAUUGCUAAAUCUACCAUGAAUUGCAAAGCAUAUCUGGGUUUAGGAGGCCUUUGAAAAAAGGGAUUGGCCACUUUAUUGAUAAGUAAGGUUUUGCAUAUAGUGGCUCCCAUAGAAUGAUGUGCCUUAUUUUGGCUCGAUUUGGCUGCAUAAGUCUGUCCCAGGGAUCAUAUUAUGGAAUGGCUAACAUGGACUUCUGUGUGGUCAAAUAUAUUAUCACUAUAUAGUGUAAAAGUAAAUAUUGCCCCUAUUAUUACUGACUAGUCCGGUCCCUUCUUCCUCGGUGGAAUUGCAAGUUCUGUUGUUCAUUCUUUCAUUUUGAUGUUUCUUAUGUCUUCUUACCCGCAUUUACUUGUAGUACACACAAGCUUUUACUCUUUCCUUCUCUUAUGCUAACCUUGUACAUGUGUCUGGAUGUGUUUCCAAUAACUCUUUAUUUUUACUUGCAGUUUUUGCCCUUGGAAAGUUAAUGAAUAAAAAGGAAGAUCAGAGCCAGCUUUCUGCAAUUGCAAGGCAAGGUUCAGGCAGUGCUUCAGAGGAGACUUGAAAGUGCCAAUUAUAUAUCAGCUUUAUUUAGCAAAGGUAUUGGAUUAUGUGGCUGGUCGAGAGCUUAAGAAAGAUGAAG